GUUGACCUCGAAUCAGGUAGGAAUACCCGCUGAACUUAAGCAUAUCAAUAAGCGGA
rnacentral:rRNA from 1 species